AGAGCGAACGCUGGCGGCAGGCUUAACACAUGCAAGUCGAGCGGGCGUAGCAAUACGUCAGCGGCAGACGGGUGAGUAACGCGUGGGAACAUACCUUUUGGUUCGGAACAACCCAGGGAAACUUGGGCUAAUACCGGAUAAGCCCUUACGGGGAAAGAUUUAUCGCCGAAAGAUUGGCCCGCGUCUGAUUAGCUAGUUGGUGAGGUAACGGCUCACCAAGGCGACGAUCAGUAGCUGGUCUGAGAGGAUGAUCAGCCACAUUGGGACUGAGACACGGCCCAAACUCCUACGGGAGGCAGCAGUGGGGAAUAUUGGACAAUGGGCGCAAGCCUGAUCCAGCCAUGCCGCGUGAGUGAUGAAGGCCCUAGGGUUGUAAAGGCUCUUUUGUGCGGGAAGAUAAUGACGGUACCGCAAGAAUAAGCCCCGGCUAACUUCGCGCCAGCAGCCGC
rnacentral:rRNA from 1 species